CUCUGGAAAAAAGGGACAAAAGGAAGGAAAUCUCUUCUAUUAGUGGUUGACAGUAUGAGAAAUGAUGUCAAAUAAAAUUGUGUAAGGAUUUGGUGUCCCGUUCAGUAUUUGUAUUUGGUAGAUGAUUUGUAAAUAUACAGUACAGGCCAAACGUUUGGACACACCUCAUCAUUCAAUGUUUUGCCUAUACUGUAUAUCUUUGUCAAUAUGCUUGUAUUUUCAUGUACUUUACCUCUGUAUAAUUAUUGCAGUAUCACUACAUGGGGGUUUGAGCCGAAAUGUCAGAUUGCACAGGGCACAUUUAGUUUCCACGUGACGUAGACGCUGACGUCACUAUAACGCGGCGGGGGGAGCUCGGGCGCUCCACGUGGCCUGUUGUUUACGUCUUCUAAGAAAGCGUUCCGACUCCGAAGGAGCGCGAGGGGCGGUUGUGAAACCGCGUCCCUGGAUAUAAUUUCACUCCUCGUGACCCCCUUUUUUUCCGCAAGAGAAAUUAAACGUUGCCGAACCCACAUCCCACGUUUUCCGUCCCUCGGAUCCGCGACCUCGUAAAAGACAGCGCCGAAUGAUGUUACAGCUGGGAAGCUGGCUGGCCCAGUUUCACGCCAACCCCGGCCGAGUCACAUCAGAGGCGGCGGGAAAGAAGGCAGAGGAGUCCGGCCCUGCGGUCCAGGACUUCCUCAAGCAUGCCAGGAACAUAAGUGGGCUGAAGAAAGUGGACAUGUUCUGCAACCUGAGAAUUCCCAACCAGUAUCAGACAUCCAGGGAUGAGAUCAACCUAGUAAUCCUCACAGGUCACGGGGUGUUCUGUGUCGAUGUGAAGAGCUGGGCGGGCCUUGUGCUGGAGAACAAGCAGAACUGGCACCUGCAGGUUAAAGACGACGACCAAACCAUCAGCAACACCUCGAUACAGCAAGUCGCUAACCCUCUGCAAGCCAUAAUGAUCAAAACCACCAACCUGUGGAACCACAUGAAGCGCUGCGGUGUGAAGGUAUCCCAGUCGCUCUUUGUCCCUCGGGUCAUCUUCCUCUCACCUCACUGCCACCUGGAUGACACUCUGAAGAACAGGAAAGAGCUGGUUGCACACGAUGACCUGGACGCAUUCCUGAGCUCAUUCAGGGAGGGCUAUGUGAGCUGGUUGUCAGACGCACUGACACCAUCAUGGAUCUCAGGUCACCUGUCGUAUGGGCAGCUGGGUCAGCUCCGGGAGGUGCUGAAGCGAAUGGGAACGUGGGACGUGGUGGAGCUGCGAGGUGGGGUGCAACUGAAGGGGGAUUUCCAGAGCUGCACGCACAUUGCACUCAACAGGCAGGAGACGGAGCAGCUGGAGUUUAGUGCCAUUGGAACGCUGUCUGCUGAGUCACUCUGGGCGCUGCUGGGACACACACCACAGAUCACGGUGAAGAUGUACAAGCGAGGCGGACAAGGCUGGCUGGGUAAAGCCCUCAGCGGGAGUGCCACCAUUCCCUCCAACACGCACGUGGUGUUCAGGAUCAGCGGUGAGGACACCGAUGCCAAGAUCCCUGCCAACGCCAUCCACACAAUCACCCUCAGCAUAUGAGAAAGGCACAGGACGCUCACUGUACCCACAUUCUGAGUUCUUAAAUUUGUUCCAAAGCAAUGCAUUUUAUGCCCUGAAAUAUACUGUACAAUAACAAUAGUUUAAGUAUUUAGUUGUGUUUUUUUUAUGUUUUUUUUAUGUAUUUAUCAGGAUGGGAGGGGGGUUCUUUAAAUCAGUGUCUCUCAGGGUAGAGGUUAUGCAUGCAAAGUUACGACACGUAUUCUGGCACUUGCGGUGAUUUGCAGGGAACUGCAGAAGUUUUAACAGUUUAAUUAGGAGACAAUGAGCUUUAUGUUAAACCUGUUUGCAUUUGAGGUGAAAUUAGCAUUAGCUUCAUACACCCUGUGUAAUUAACUGCGUAAUUGACUGCGCUGCCUCUCCUCGUCUGGCAAUAUUAUAUUUUUGCAAAUUCAUUGCACAGCACUCAGUGUGGAAUUAUUUUUUUUUUUUUUUUUACUGCUGCAAUUAUGCACUCAACCGGUCAUUUAACUUGACACAUUUUUAAACAUAAAAUCCAUUUGCUGCACCGCUGUCAAGUUGGGGGCUGGCUGUCGCUUUAAAAUCCCCAUUCGCUUGUUGCAGGUCCGAUUCCACUGUUGCAUCUGUCCCCAUACACGCACAGUGUUGUGGUAAUGAAUUAGCAACACUAAUCUCCUAUCGAUGACCGUAGUGUCAGCCCCCCUGUUAAAGUAGCCGUUAAUUGCUUUUUGUGUCACCACAGCCUGAAGUGUGGUGCCGAUCUAAAUCAGGAACGCCCCUGUGUUGUGGAUAGAGUUGUGGGAAGGUGGCCUGUUUGUGUUCCCAUUGACCGUUAAGAGACGAGUAACCAAUGAAGCGGCUGCAUACUCCCAGAAGCAUCGUCGUUUUCAUACAGGCCAUAUAACCUCCCACUUCCCACCAAGCAGACACUCGCAGGAGUCCAUUAACAGCUGGCAAUCCCAUUUACGGUGUCUGGCACUGAGCUAAAUUAAGUUACGCGCAUCGAAAACAUCAGUGCCUU
ensembl:lncRNA uncharacterized LOC114784459